rnacentral:rRNA from 6 species
GUCCUUUUGAAUUUUAUAGAAGGUCUGACCUGCCCAGUGAUAAUUUUAACGGCCGCGGUAUACUGACCGUGCAAAGGUAGCAUAAUCAUUAGUCUUUUAAUAGAGGGCUGGAAUGAAAGGUUUAACGAGGAAUUGACUGUCUCAUUUUAUUUGUUUUAGAAUUUAAUUUUUUAGUCAAAAAGCUAAAAUCUUAUUGGAAGACGAGAAGACCCUAUAGAUCUUUAUAAAACUUUAUUUAAUUAUUUUUAUAUUAUUUUAUUUAAAUGAUUUUUUAUUUUGUUGGGGUGACAAAAAUAUAUGUAAAACUUUUUUAUUUAUUUAACAUUAAUUUAUGAUUAUUAGAUCCAUUAUUAGUGAUUGAUAGACUAAGUUACCUUAGGGAUAACAGCGUAAUCCUCCUCCAGAGUUCAUAUUUACAGGAUGGGCUUGCGACCUCGAUGUUGGAUUAAGAUGAUAGUUAGGUGUAGCCGCUUAAUUUAUAGGUCUGUUCGACCUUUAAACUCUU